rnacentral:rRNA from 1 species
CAGCCGCGGUAAUACGGGAGUGGCAAGCGUUAUCCGGAAUUAUUGGGCGUAAAGCGUCCGCAGGCGGUCUUGUAAGUCUGUCGUUAAAGCGUGGAGCUUAACUCCAUUUCAGCGAUGGAAACUGUAAGACUAGAGUGUGGUAGGGGCAGAGGGAAUUCCCGGUGUAGCGGUGAAAUGCGUAGAUAUCGGGAAGAACACCAGUGGCGAAGGCGCUCUGCUGGGCCAUAACUGACGCUCAUGGACGAAAGCCAGGGGAGCGAAAGGGAUUAGAUACCCCUGUAGUCCUGGCCGUAAACGAUGAACACUAGGUGUCGGGGGAAUCGACCCCCUCGGUGUCGUAGCCAACGCGUUAAGUGUUCCGCCUGGGGAGUACGCACGCAAGUGUGAAACUCAAAGGAAUUGACGGGGGCCCGCACAAGCGGUGGAGUAUGUGGUUUAAUUCGAUGCAACGCGAAGAACCUUACCAGGGUUUGACAUCCUGCGAAUCUCUUGGAAACGAGAGAGUGCCUUCGGGAACGCAGUGACAGGUGGUGCAUGGCUGUCGUCAGCUCGUGUCGUGAGAUGUUGGGUUAAGUCCCGCAACGAGCGCAACCCACGUCGUUAGUUGCCAGCAUUUAGUUGGGCACUCUAGCGAGACCGCCGGUGAUAAACCGGAGGAAGGUGUGGAUGACGUCAAGUCAUCAUGCCCCUUACAUCCUGGGCUACACACGUACUACAAUGCUACGGACAAAGGGCAGCAAACUCGCGAGAGCUAGCAAAUCCCAUAAACCGUGGCUCAGUUCAGAUCGUAGGCUGCAACUCGCCUACGUGAAGGAGGAAUCGCUAGUAAUCGCACGUCAGCAUACUGCGGUGAAUACGUUCCCGGGCCUUGU